ACCCUUAGAUGUUCUGGGCGGCCCGCGCACUACAAUGGCACUCUCAAAGAGUUCCUGGAUCUAAAACUUUGGGGUAUUCUGUUAAGUGGUGUCGUGACUGGGAUUAACCAUUGCAAUUAUUGGUUACGAACGAGGAAUUCCUUGUAAUCGCGGUUUAUCAGCCCGCGUUGAAUGCGUCCCUGCCCUUUGUACACACCGCCCGUCGCUCCUACCGAUGAAUCGUCCGGUGAAGUUCAUGGAGUGGUGGUUGUUCCAAUUGCUGUCGAAGUGAAAUGGACCUCACGAUUUAGAGGAAGGAGAAGUCGUAACA
rnacentral:rRNA from 1 species